CUCCUGGAAACGGGUGGUAAUGCCGGAUGUUCCAGUUGAUCGCAUGGUCUUCUGGGAAAGCUUUCGCGGUAUGGGAUGGGGUCGCGUCCUAUCAGCUUGACGGCGGGGUAACGGCCCACCGUGGCUUCGACGGGUAGCCGGCCUGAGAGGGCGACCGGCCACAUUGGGACUGAGAUACGGCCCAGACUCCUACGGGAGGCAGCAGUGGGGAAUAUUGCACAAUGGGCGCAAGCCUGAUGCAGCGACGCCGCGUGAGGGAUGGAGGCCUUCGGGUUGUAAACCUCUUUUAUCGGGGAGCAAGCGUGAGUGAGUUUACCCGUUGAAUAAGCACCGGCUAACUACGCGCCAGCAGCCGCGGUAAUACGUAGGGUGCAAGCGUUAUCCGGAAUUAUUGGGCGUAAAGGGCUCGUAGGCGGUUCGUCGCGUCCGGUGUGAAAGUCCAUCGCUUAACGGUGGAUCCGCGCCGGGUACGGGCGGGCUUGAGUGCGGUAGGGGAGACUGGAAUUCCCGGUGUAACGGUGGAAUGUGUAGAUAUCGGGAAGAACACC
rnacentral:rRNA from 1 species